ACCUAACUCGGUGGUGUAGUGGCAGCACGCGUCCAUGGUAUGGAUGAAGCACGGGUUCGACUCUCGCCUGUGGUC